UAUUAAAAUAUAUAAUUUUUUUAGUUAUUAAGUAUUAUUGUUCAAAUUGUGAUUACUAAGGCUGCGUUUGGUUGAAGAACUAAAUUUUGAAAAACAACUUUUAUUGUUCCCGAUAACAGGGAAUAUUUCGGUACAAGAUAGAACACUUGUAAAUUUAUGUUUGGAUGCAUUCGGGGAUAUUCUAGAGAAUAUCCUUAGUAGCGUUUGGAUAAAAAGUCUAGAACAAUUAAAAUUUUGUGUUUGGGUGCAGUGUAAGUUGAGUUCGGAGGUUUAAAAGGAAAAGUCGAAAAUAGGUGAACUGAGAAUUCUUUGUAACUUGAGUUACAUAAAUUUUUUCACUUACAUCAAAACAAACAGCAAAAUUUAUGAAACUCAAAUUCCAACCCUCCACUUACUCCAAACCAAACAGCCUCUAAGAUCCUGCACGAAGA
rnacentral:lncRNA from 1 species